AUCAGUUCCUGCUAUACCCUCAUCUGGGAUCUCAAGAUGGACUGGGGUCUCUUCGAUAAGAAUGCUGGAGAGAACACUUUCCUCCGGGAAGAGAUUGUAUACCCCCAAAAAGCCUACUACUACUGUGCCAUAAUAGAGGAUGUGAUUCUGCGCUUUGCUUGGACUAUCCAAAUCUCGAUUACCUCUACAACUUUGUUGCCUCAUUCUGGGGACAUCAUUGCUACUGUCUUUGCCCCACUUGAGGUUUUCCGACAGAAGCUGGAAACGGAAAGAAAACCUGAGAGAGAAAGCAUGACUCUGGAAUCCACCUGCCAUCAGAGCUCUCUCCAGACCAGUGCUCCUUCCCUUCCUCACCUUCCUGAAUGCCUCGGCCUGGCACCUGAACUCCCCAUCGCUGCUGCCACCUUCCCCCACCCACUUCUUUCUCUUUCAUGUGUGCUACUUCAUCAGUUUUUUAAAAGAAAUUCUAGUAAAAAAAGAAAAAUACCUCAUGACGAUUUUCUUUUUAAAAUCAUUUGCUUACUAAUUAAAUCAAAUGUUCUAUCCCAUUUAAAACAAACAAAAAAAAAA
rnacentral:sRNA from 1 species